rnacentral:rRNA from 1 species
UACAGGGGGGGCAAGCGUUGUUCGGAAUUACUGGGCGUAAAGGGUUCGUAGGUGGCCACUUAAGUCAGACGUGAAAUCCCUCAGCUUAACUGGGGAACUGCGUCUGAUACUGGGUGGCUUGAGUGCAGGAGAGGAAUGCGGAAUUCCAGGUGUAGCGGUGAAAUGCGUAGAUAUCUGGAGGAACACCGGUGGCGAAGGCGGAUCUCUGGGCCGUAACUGACGCUGAGGAGCGAAAGCAUGGGGAGCGAACAGG